GAGGAUUUAGCUCAGUGGUAGAGCACUUGCCUAGCAAGCGCAAGGCCCUGGGUUCAGUCCUCA
rfam:Rattus norvegicus chromosome 3, whole genome shotgun sequence.